GCCGCCGUAGACCAACGGCAGAGUCAGUAGUUCGAGAAGCUAUCAAGUGCCGGUUCGAAUCCGGCCGGCGGCA
rnacentral:tRNA from 1 species